CCCAACUAUCCCUAUUAAUCAUUACGUCGAUCCUAGAAACCAACAAAAUAGAAUCAAACGUCCUAUUUCAUUAUUCCAUGCUAAUGUAUUCAAGCGCGAGCCUGCUUUAAACACUCUAAUUUUUUCAAAGUAACAGUCCUGAUUUCCCACGACACCAAAUUAAUGACAUCGUGGUUCGUCAGAAGGUAGGAAUCAAUUUGACCAGUACGUACCGAGGCACGACCGAUCAACUGAUCCCGAAAUUCAACUACGAGCUUUUUAACUGCAACAACUUUAAUAUACGCUAUUGGAGCUGGAAUUACCGCGGCUGCUGGCACCAGACUUGCCCUCCAA
rnacentral:misc_RNA from 2 species